rnacentral:rRNA from 1 species
UACGUAGGGUGCGAGCGUUGUCCGGAAUUAUUGGGCGUAAAGAGCUCGUAGGCGGUCUGUCGCGUCGAUCGUGAAAACUUGGGGCUUAACCCUGAGCUUGCGGUCGAUACGGGCAUGACUGGAGUUCGGCAGGGGAGACUGGAAUUCCUGGUGUAGCGGUGAAAUGCGCAGAUAUCAGGAGGAACACCGGUGGCGAAGGCGGGUCUCUGGGCCGAUACUGACGCUGAGGAGCGAAAGCGUGGGGAGCGAAACAGG